rnacentral:lncRNA from 1 species
GAGCUUAAAGAGGCAUUCAGGGUGUUUGACAAGGAUCAGAAUGGGUUCAUAUCUGCAGCCGAGCUGCGCCAUGUCAUGACAAACCUUGGUGAAAAGCUUACAGAUGAGGAAGUCGACGAGAUGAUCCGCGAAGCUGAUGUUGAUGGUGAUGGGCAGAUCAACUACGAGGAGUUCGUCAAAGUCAUGAUGGCCAAGUAAAGGACCUCUCCAACUAUAACCAGGAUUUAAAAUUGGGGUUUAAAAAAAAAGGAAGAAAGGAACAGGGCAGAUAAGUUUGCUAAGAUAUCUAUUAAUGAAUAGGACAUCUAUGUUU